rnacentral:rRNA from 1 species
UACGGAGGGAGCGAGCGUUGUUCGGAAUUACUGGGCGUAAAGGGCGCGUAGGCGGUUUGGUAAGUCAGAUGUGAAAUCCAACGGCUCAACCGUUUGAACUGCAUCUGAUACUGCCAGACUUGAGAACAGUAGAGGAGAGUGGAAUUCCCAGUGUAGCGGUGGAAUGCGUAGAUAUUGGGAAGAACACCGGUGGCGAAGGCGGCUCUCUGGACUGGUUCUGACGCUGAGGCGCGAAAGCUAGGGGAGCGAACAGGAUUAGAUACCCUCGUA